UACGUAGGGGGCAAGCGUUGUCCGGAAUCAUUGGGCGUAAAGCGCGUGUAGGCGGUUCGGUAAGUCCGCUGUGAAAGUCGGGGGCUCAACCCUCGGAUGCCGGUGGAUACUGUCGGGCUUGAGUACGGAAGAGGCGAGUGGAAUUCCUGGUGUAGCGGUGAAAUGCGCAGAUAUCAGGAGGAACACCAAUUGCGAAGGCAGCUCGCUGGGACGUUACUGACGCUGAGACGCGAAGCGUGGGAG
rnacentral:rRNA from 1 species